AUUGAACGCUGGCGGCAUGCUUUACACAUGCAAGUCGAACGGUAACAUGCCGCCAGGUGCUGACCAGUGGCGUACGGGUGAGUAAUGCAUCGUAACGUUCCCAGUCGUUCGGGAUAACUACUCCAAAUAGUAGCUAAUACCGCAUACGAUCUAUUUAUGAAAGCUGGGGACCGUACGGCCUCGCGCGACUGGUUCGGCCGGUGUCAGAUUAGGUAGUCGGUGGGGUAAAGGUUCACCAAGCCAAUGAUCUGCAGCUCGUCUGAUAGGACGACCAGCUACACUGGGACUGAGACAGGGCCGAGACACCUACGGGAGGCAGCAGUGGGGAAUCUUGGGCGAUGGGGGAAAGCGUGAUAUAGCAAUGCCGCGUGCAGGAAGAUGGCCUUCGGGUUGUAGACUGAUUUUGUACGGAACGAAACGGCUCUGGUUAAUACCCGGGGCUAAUGACGGUACCGUAAGAAUAAGCACCGGCUAACUACGUG
rnacentral:rRNA from 1 species